UACGGAGGGUGCAAGCGUUAUCCGGAUUCCCUGGGUUUAAAGGGUGCGUAGGUGGGCAGGUAAGUCAGUGGUGAAAUCUCCGGGCUUAACCCGGAAACUGCCAUUGAUACUAUCGGUCUUGAAUACCGUGGAGGUGAGCGGAAUAUGUCAUGUAGCGGUGAAAUGCUUAGAUAUGACAUAGAACACCGAUUGCGAAGGCAGCUAACUACAGGGAUAUUGACACUGAGGCACGAAAGCGUGGGGAUCAAACAGG
rnacentral:rRNA from 1 species